rnacentral:rRNA from 1 species
AUUGAACGCUGGCGGCAUGCUUUACACAUGCAAGUCGGACGGCAGCACAGAGAAGCUUGCUUCUUGGGUGGCGAGUGGCGAACGGGUGAGUAAUAUAUCGGAACGUACCGAGUAAUGGGGGAUAACUAAUCGAAAGAUUAGCUAAUACCGCAUAUUCUCUGAGGAGGAAAGCAGGGGACCUUCGGGCCUUGCGUUAUUCGAGCGGCCGAUAUCUGAUUAGCUAGUUGGUGGGGUAAAGGCCUACCAAGGCGACGAUCAGUAGCGGGUCUGAGAGGAUGAUCCGCCACACUGGGACUGAGACACGGCCCAGACUCCUACGGGAGGCAGCAGUGGGGAAUUUUGGACAAUGGGCGCAAGCCUGAUCCAGCCAUGCCGCGUGUCUGAAGAAGGCCUUCGGGUUGUAAAGGACUUUUGUCAGGGAAGAAAAGGCUGUUGCUAAUACCGACAGCUGAUGACGGAACCUGAAGAAUAAGCACCGGCUAACUACGUG